rnacentral:tRNA from 1 species
GCGCCCGUGGCGGAAUGGUAGACGCUACGGACUUAAAAUCCGUUGGCCGCAAGGCCGUGGGGGUUCGAGUCCCCCCGGGCGCACCA